rnacentral:rRNA from 1 species
GACGAACGCUGGCGGCGUGCCUAAUACAUGCAAGUAGAACGCUGAAGCGAGGAGCUUGCUCUUCUUGGAUGAGUUGCGAACGGGUGAGUAACGCGUAGGUAACCUGCCUUGUAGCGGGGGAUAACUAUUGGAAACGAUAGCUAAUACCGCAUAACAAUGGAUGACCCAUGUCAUUUAUUUGAAAGGGGCAAAUGCUCCACUACAAGAUGGACCUGCGUUGUAUUAGCUAGGAGGUGAGGUAACGGCUCACCUAGGGGACGAUACAUAGCCGACCUGAGAGGGUGAUCUGCCACACUGGGACGGAGACACGGCCCAGACUCCUACGGGAGGCAGCAGUAGGGAAUCUUCGGCAAUGGGGGCAAACCUGACCGAGAAACGCCGCGUGAGUGAAGAAGGUUUUCGGAUCGUAAAGCUCGGUUGUAAGUCAAGAACGAGUGUGAGAGUGGAAAGUUCACACUGUGACGGUAGCUGACCAGAAAGGGACGGCUAACUACGUG